GCACUGGCAAUUCAGUGUUAGAAUUCUUGCCUACCAUGUGGAAGACCUGGGUUCAAUUUCCCAGCCAGUGCU
rnacentral:tRNA from 1 species